UCGAGCGCGGGAAGCAGGCAGAUCCUCUUCGGAGGUGACGCUUGUGGAACGAGCGGCGGACGGGUGAGUAACACGUGGGCAACCUGCCUGUAAGAUUGGGAUAACCCCGGGAAACCGGGGCUAAUACCGGAUAAUACUUUUCGUUGCAUAACGAGAAGUUGAAAGGCGGCUUUUAGCUGUCACUUACAGAUGGGCCCGCGGCGCAUUAGCUAGUUGGUAAGGUAACGGCUUACCAAGGCGACGAUGCGUAGCCGACCUGAGAGGGUGAUCGGCCACACUGGGACUGAGACACGGCCCAGACUCCUACGGGAGGCAGCAGUAGGGAAUCUUCCGCAAUGGACGAAAGUCUGACGGAGCAACGCCGCGUGAGUGAUGAAGGUUUUCGGAUCGUAAAACUCUGUUGUCAGGGAAGAACAAGUGCCGUUCAAAUAGGGCGGCACCUUGACGGUACCUGACCAGAAAGCCCCGGCUAACUACGUGCCAGCAGCCGCGGUAAUACGUAGGGGGCAAGCGUUGUCCGGAAUUAUUGGGCGUAAAGCGCGCGCAGGCGGUCCUUUAAGUCUGAUGUGAAAGCCCACGGCUUAACCGUGGAGGGCCAUUGGAAACUGGAGGACUUGAGUACAGAAGAGGAGAGUGGAAUUCCACGUGUAGCGGUGAAAUGCGUAGAGAUGUGGAGGAACACCAGUGGCGAAGGCGACUCUCUGGUCUGUAACUGACGCUGAGGUGCGAAAGCGUGGGGAGCGAACAGGAUUAGAUACCCUGGUAGUCCACGCCGUAAACGAUGAGUGCUAGGUGUUAGGGGGUUUCCGCCCCUUAGUGCUGAAGUUAACGCAUUAAGCACUCCGCCUGGGGAGUACGGCCGCAAGGCUGAAACUCAAAAGAAUUGACGGGGGCCCGCACAAGCGGUGGAGCAUGUGGUUUAAUU
rnacentral:rRNA from 1 species